UAACACAUGCAAGUCGAACGAACCUUCGGGUUAGUGGCGGACGGGUGAGUAACGCGUGGGAAUCUGCCCUCAGGAGGGGGAUAACGGCCGGAAACGGCCGCUAAUACCCCAUAUGCCGAGAGGUGAAAUGAAUUUCGCCUGAGGAUGAGCCCGCGUCUGAUUAGCUAGUUGGUGAGGUAAGAGCUCACCAGGGCAUCGAUCAGUAGCUGGUCUGAGAGGAUGAUCAGCCACACUGGGACUGAGACACGGCCCAGACUCCUACGGGAGGCAGCAGUGGGGAAUUUUCCGCAAUGGGCGAAAGCCUGACGGAGCAACGCCGCGUGAGGGAUGAAGGCCUCUGGGCUGUAAACCUCUUUUAUCAAGGAAGAAGAUCUGACGGUACUUGAUGAAUAAGCCACGGCUAAUUCCGUGCCAGCAGCCGCGGUAAUACGGGAGUGGCAAGCGUUAUCCGGAAUUAUUGGGCGUAAAGCGUCCGCAGGCGGCCCUACAAGUCUGCUGUUAAAAAGUGGAGCUUAACUCCAUCAUGGCAGUGGAAACUGUUGGGCUCGAGUGUGGUAGGGGCAGAGGGAAUUCCCGGUGUAGCGGUGAAAUGCGUAGAUAUCGGGAAGAACACCAGUGGCGAAGGCGCUCUGCUGGGCCAUCACUGACGCUCAUGGACGAAAGCCAGGGGAGCGAAAGGGAUUAGAUACCCCUGUAGUCCUGGCCGUAAACGAUGAACACUAGGUGUCGGGGGAAUCGACCCCUCCGGUGUCGUAGCCAACGCGUUAAGUGUUCCGCCUGGGGAGUACGCACGCAAGUGUGAAACUCAAAGGAAUUGACGGGGGCCCGCACAAGCGGUGGAGUAUGUGGUUUAAUUCGAUGCAACGCGAAGAACCUUACCAGGAUUUGACAUCCUGCGAAUCUCUUGGAAACUUGAGAGUGCCUUCGGGAACGCAGUGACAGGUGGUGCAUGGCUGUCGUCAGCUCGUGUCGUGAGAUGUUGGGUUAAGUCCCGCAACGAGCGCAACCCACGUCUUUAGUUGCCAGCAUUUAGUUGGGCACUCUAGAGAGACCGCCGGUGAUAAACCGGAGGAAGGUGUGGAUGACGUCAAGUCAUCAUGCCCCUUACAUCCUGGGCUACACACGUACUACAAUGCUACGGACAAAGGGCAGCAAGUUCGCGAGGCCAAGCAAAUCCCAUAAACCGUAGCUCAGUUCAGAUCGUAGGCUGCAACUCGCCUACGUGAAGGAGGAAUCGCUAGUAAUCGCAGGUCAGCAUACUGCGGUGAAUACGUUCCCGGGCCUUGUACACACCGCCCGUCACACCAUGGAAGUUGGCCAUGCCCGAAGCCGUUACUCCAACCCUUGUGGAGGAGGACGUCGAAGGUGGGGCUGAUGACUGGGGUG
rnacentral:rRNA from 1 species